rnacentral:rRNA from 1 species
CUAGGUGUAGGAGGUAUCGACCCCUUCUGUGCCGCAGUUAACACAAUAAGUAUCCCACCUGGGGAGUACGACCGCAAGGUUGAAACUCAAAGGAAUUGACGGGGGCCCGCACAAGCAGUGGAGUAUGUGGUUUAAUUCGAAGCAACGCGAAGAACCUUACCUGGGCUUGACAUCCCUGGAAUCGAGUAGAGAUACUUGAGUGCCUUCGGGAAUCAGGUGACAGGUGGUGCAUGGUUGUCGUCAGCUCGUGUCGUGAGAUGUUGGGUUAAGUCCCGCAACGAGCGCAACCCCUAUUGUCAGUUGCCAUCAUUAAGUUGGGCACUCUGGCGAGACUGCCGGUGACAAAUCGGAGGAAGGUGGGGACGACGUCAAAUCAUCAUGCCCCUUAUGCCCAGGGCUACACACGUACUACAAUGGCCGAUAACAAAGUGCAGCGAAACCGUGAGGUGGAGCGAAUCACAAAACUCGGUCUCAGUUCAGAUUGCAGGCUGCAACUCGCCUGCAUGAAGUUGGAAUUGCUAGUAAUCGCGGAUCAGAAUGCCGCGGUGAAUACGUUCCCGGGCCUUGCACUCAGCGCCCGUC